GCCAGGCAUGGUGGCACAUGCCUGUAAUCCCAGUGGCUUGGGAGGCUGAUGUUAGGGUGGUUUGAUGUGGCUAAGGGAACAAAGCACCAGGCCUCCC
rnacentral:sRNA from 1 species